rnacentral:tRNA from 1 species
AGCCCAAACCGGGAGUUGAACCCGGGUUUAUCGCUUAGAAGGCGAUCGUUCUAUCCGUUAAACUAUAAGGGC